CUGACCGUGCAAAGGUAGCGUAAUCACUUGUCUUUUAAAUGGAGACCUGUAUGAAUGGCAUACGAGGGCUUAACUGUCUCCUUUUUCAAGUCAAUGAAAUUGAUCUCCCCGUGCAGAAGCGGGGAUACACCCAUAAGACGAGAAGACCCUAUGGAGCUUAAGACGCCAAGGCAUAUCAUGUUAAACACCCCUAAACAAAGGGCCAAACCAAGUGAUAACGUAUGCCCUAAUGUCUUUGGUUGGGGCGACCGCGGGGAAACAAAAAACCCCCACGUGGAAUGGGAGCACCCCUCCUACAACCAAGAGCUGCAGCUCUAAUAAACAGAAUUUCUGACCAAUAAGAUCCGGCAACGCCGAUCAACGGACCGAGUUACCCUAGGGAUAACAGCGCAAUCCCCUUUAAGAGCCCAUAUCGACAAGGGGGUUUACGACCUCGAUGUUGGAUCAGGACAUCCUAAUGGUGCAGCCGCUAUUAAGGGUUCGUUGUCAACGAUUAAAGUCCUACGUGAUCUGAGUUCAGACCGGAG
rnacentral:rRNA from 1 species